AUACACUACUAACAAAGUAAACGUUGAUUUUCUCUUGAACAAAAAUUUUAUGUAUUAUUAAUAUGCCAGCAAAAUACUUCUGUUCACCUUUUGAAUACAUUCAAAAGGAGAGUGAGUACAAAAGAGAAUUUUCUCAUGCUCUGGGGGGGGCCUGGGUCAGCUCAGGAAGGAAGCCCUGCCUGUAAAGGCUGCAGCUUAGGCUGUCUCUCUUCACUUAGCCCAGCAUCUGAUCACAUCUUCUGUCACUCAGGGCCUGAGGGGCGGGACCUAAAGCAUUAUCCAAUCAGAGACGCUGGGCUGGAAACCGUCCAAUCAGGCACGCAGCUGGAGCGACGAGGACGGCUUUCCGCUUUUGGCGCGGCCUUUGUCUCUAGCUGCAGCCGGCGUUUCAGGUCUCGUCUUCACUGGUCUGUGUCCUAUUCUCCUGGAGGCCCAGCCUCUGUGGCCCUGUGACCUGCAGGUAUUGGGAGAUCCACAGCUAAAACCCCAGGACACCCUGGAAGCAUAGAAAUGGUUCUGUAGCAGAAAUUGCUGGUGUCUGUGGCAGGGGAGGGCACCUGAGGACAGGGAAGAAGAAACAUAUUUUUAUCUUUAUGGAGCAGCACAUUGUUCCCAAAUACCUUCUGCUUUAAGGGACAGAAAUGGAUGGACUUUUUCUGUCUUUUCUGCCAGUUGAUGUCAUGCUUGCAGGUCCAUCUUCUGUAGCGCUGCUGCAGUUUGCUAGGGGCUAACUUCAGGACCUAUUCAUCUGGUUCACCGCCGUGCCUGGAGAUGUCACUCAAGGAAGUUGGAGAACAGCAAAGAAGAGUGCCCGCUCCUUCCUCUGGGAUCUCUGACCUCAAGAGGCACAAACCUGAUGCCAGUAGAAUUGCUCCUCUAUAGGGUGUCUGACAAUCCCUGUUGAAGGGUCUCAUCCAGUUGGGUGGCACAGGAAGCAGAACUCAUUUAAUGAAGCACUUUGACUGUCCUUUGGUGGAGGGGGGUGUUUCACUGGGGGAAAAUCCACUCAUCUGGGCUGCUCAAAUUCUUCAAAACUAGCAGGAGGAAAGGCUAAGUCUGCUGGUCCACAGAGACUGCAGCCACCCCUCCCCCUAGGGUUCUGCUCUGAUCUUU
rnacentral:lncRNA from 1 species